rnacentral:rRNA from 1 species
CCUACGGGAGGCAGCAGUGGGGAAUAUUGCACAAUGGGGGAAACCCUGAUGCAGCGACGCCGCGUGAGGGAAGAAGUAAUUCGGUAUGUAAAACUCUAUCAGCAGGGAAGAAAAUGACGGUACCUGAGUAAGAAGCCCCGGCUAACUACGUUCCAGCAGCCGCGGUAAUACGUAGGGGGCAAGCGUUAUCCGGAUUUACUGGGUGUAAAGGGAGCGUAGACGGCAGUGCAAGUCUGGAGUGAAAGGCGGGGGCUCAACCCCCGGACUGCUCUGGAAACUGUACGGCUGGAGUGCAGGAGAGGUAAGUGGAAUUCCUAGUGUAGCGGUGAAAUGCGUAGAUAUUAGGAGGAACACCAGUGGCGAAGGCGGCUUACUGGACUGUAACUGACGUUGAGGCUCGAAAGCGUGGGGAGCAAACAGGAUUAGAUACCCCAGUAGUC